UAUGAUACAUAUCCUUUUGGAAGAGGCAAAAUGGCGUUUCGAUAGCUGCAGAGCAUGUGAAAAAUCAAGCAAUCAGUAGAACCCAGCUAUAGAAAGGUUUACGCUCACUUGUAAGUUCUAACAUAAUCAGUUAUGAUUGCGUUUCUCUGGAGAAGAACACUACAAAUGCCAGUUCCUACUUGUGUGUUUUCACUGCUAAACUCCACAAUCCAACUUGGUUGUAUUCAAAAUGGCUUCUUAUUCAGUGUUAAAUCUCUGUCAACAUCUUUGAAACCUGUGGACCAUGAACAUAAGAAAUACCCUUAUACAGUGUCUUAUCUUGUACGCUCAUGCGGGUUUUCCCUGGAAUCUGCAGAAUCUAUAUCUAAGAAAGUAAAAUUUGAAUCCCCUGAUAAACCGGAUGCAGUGGUUAGCAUUCUCACAGACUACGGACUCACGAAAUACGACAUCUCUAGGCUUAUUAAGAGAUCGCCCGAGCUGAUUUUGGCCAAUCCUACUAAGACCCUUUUGCCCAAACUGGAGUUUCUACGUUCUAUCGGUGUUUCAGGCUCAAUACUUGGUCAGAUGGUGUCUUGGAACUCUUGCUUUGUGCGCUAUAGCUUUGAACUGCGUAUCAUUCCUUGCUAUAAUAUCCUCAAAAGUGUGCUUGUUUCUGAUGUGAAAGUGGUCAAGUCUUUGAAGUGCAUAUCUGAGAUUGAUUUCUGCUCGUUGCUCGAGAAUAUGUUAUUGAAAUUGGAUUUGACCCUCUGAAGUCCACAUUUGCACAUGCACUGGUAGUUGUGUCUCGCCCUAAUGUCUGGGAGCGGAAGAUGGUGGUUUAUAGGAGUUGUGGCCUAUCAGAAGAUGAAAUUUGGUCGGUUAUCAGAAAGUUUCCCUCGUGUAUGAGUUUCUCAAUUGAGAAAAUUAGGAACACCAUGGAUUUUCUUGUCAACGAGAUGGGUUGGCUGCCAGCAGAUGUUGCCCGAGUUCCAAGUGUUUUAAGUUAUAGUUUGGAGAAGAGGAUUGUCCCAAGGUGUUCAGUUGUAAAAGUCUUGCUAUUGAAGGGUUUGAUUAAGGGAGAUAUUAAUUUAUGUACUGUAUUGAAAAGCACUGAGGAGUACUUCAUGAAUAAUUUUGUGAUCGAGUAUCAGGAAGAGGUACCUCGACUCUUGAGCAUCUUCCGAGGAGAAAUAAAUAUUGUGGAAUUGGGAUUUGGAUCCGAGGAAAAACCCUCAUUAUCCUCGCUUACUUGAUGCUGGUUAAUGGGAGUUUGGCCUCAUUGGACUUUUACUGGUGAGUAUUGACUAUACAACUGCCUCCAAUGUGGUUCUCCUUAUUGGACUUUCACUGGUGAGUACUGACUACACGACUGCCUCCAAUGUGGUUCUCUUGUAAGUGGUUUUGUUGCAUACCUUCAUUUUAAUUAGAGAUAUUUGAGGCAUUGAUAGGGAAGUCAUAGGUGCGGAUGACUCAACUGCCUUGCAGCCCUCUAAUGGUUUCCAAUGCUUCAGUUCAGUCAGUGGUUGAUUAUA